rnacentral:rRNA from 1 species
AUGAACGCUGGCGGCGUGCCUAAUACCUGCACGUCGAGCGAACAGACGAGGAGCUUGCUCCUCUGACGUUAGCGGCGGACGGGUGAGUAACACGUGGAUAACCUACCUAUAAGACUGGGAUAACUUCGGGAAACCGGAGCUAAUACCGGAUAAUAUAUUGAACCGCAUGGUUCAAUAGUGAAAGACGGUUUUGCUGUCACUUAUAGAUGGAUCCGCGCCGCAUUAGCUAGUUGGUAAGGUAACGGCUUACCAAGGCGACGAUGCGUAGCCGACCUGAGAGGGUGAUCGGCCACACUGGAACUGAGACACGGUCCAGACUCCUACGGGAGGCAGCAGUAGGGAAUCUUCCGCAAUGGGCGAAAGCCUGACGGAGCAACGCCGCGUGAGUGAUGAAGGUCUUCGGAUCGUAAAACUCUGUUAUUAGGGAAGAACAAAUAUGUAAGUAACUAUGCACGUCUUGACGGUACCUAAUCAGAAAGCCACGGCUAACUACGUG